ACUAUUUUGUUUUCGUCUUCUUCUUUUACAAUGAAUCCAUAUCUAGAAAGGUGAAAUCGAUUACUGGAUGCAAAGCUAUGUUGGGGUUUAUUUGAUGAUAUUUGUUGGUGAUGAUUUGGGUAUUGUAGGGUUAGCGAAUGCAAAGAUUUUUUCAGUUUAAGCUGGAAAAAGUUCAGGUGUUGUUUUUGCUUCUACUAAGACUAACUAACAGAAGAACCCUCCAAGAGCGGUGCACAAAACUGCCAUGAAAAAGGAAUUCAGUAGAAUGGCUAAGGUUGUUGCCAACUAGCUACGAAGCUACAUCUUCCAAGAAAAUCAGAAGCAUAACAAAAGAGCUUAUUACUGGAGCAGUCACUUCUAACAAACCCUUCUCUUAUUUAUCAGAUUUUGCAAUAGAUUUUUGUGAUGCAUACAUGGAUAACUUGAUUUUAUAUCCUCUUUGACGGCAACGGUCGUGUGUUCUGCAAGGGUGUGUUGUACGAUGUUGGGGGUACAUCCUAUUGCAGGACCUCAGUUUUAGUCGGAAGUCGUUCUUUUUCUCAAGGUCCAGCUCCACCCAGCCCGUAUCUACCACAUAUCUUGCAAGGCCGCAGGAAGAAGCAUGAACUCUUAUAUCUUCAGAGCCAUUUCAUUCAAGAUGUAAACAUUCCAG